UGCUAUUGUAAAUCAGAUUCCUAAUAAUGUACUAACAAAUUCUUGCGCAACUCGCAUAUAAGAACUUUAUGAUAAUUUUGAACAGUUUUCAACUUAUAGAAUCCAAUUAUGAUACGUUUUAAUUUUUAUGGCACCUUUAUCGAGAUUAACUGGUUAUCGUAUACUAAUAUAUGCUUUAGGAAUACUUUCAUUUUUUUGCCAGAUGGAUUUUUUAUUUUAGGUUUUUCUUUUUGCUUAUUGAAUAGUUCAUAACUAUCAUGUCUAUGGUAGUUGAUUAUAAGUAAUUAAAAUAUGCAAAUUUUGAGCACUCUUAUCGAAUUCACAUUAAAAUCAUUUUCUUUGGAACAUGUAUAGCGUUAACUAGUCACCGGAUAUUUAAAGUGUGCCUAUGCUGCAACUGUUCAUUGUCUCUGUGAAACCCAAACAAAUUGAUGAUAGAUACUAAUAUUCAAACAGAUUUCAUACGAUUUUACCUAACUAACUAGUUCAACUUGGUUAAAUAUCUUCAAAAGGACCAGCUCCUCCUAUAUCACAUUCCACUUUAUGUAUUUUUUUAGUACUCAUUCAAUUAAUUUGAAGGAAGUUUAUAAAAUUGAGCUUAAAUUCUUUAAGCAUUUUUUAUUAGUAGGUCGAUUGCUCGUGAGUACUCUUUGAAUCUCAACGUUGUGAUUAAGAAGUAAAAAGAAAUAAAGGAUUAUUUUUCGCUUAUUUAAACCUUUUUUAAUUAAGCAUAAUUACUUUCAUUAUUAAAGCUAUAAAAAACAAAUAAAUCAACUUUUAAAUCUAAUUACCCACACUACUACAAUAAAUUAUCGAUUACAUCCUGGAAGAGAAUAAAAAGUUCAUUAACUAUAACUCAUUGAUCGUGAAAACAUAACAAUUAAGGCCAUUUCUCCAUCAUGUCACGAAGUUUAUCAAUGGGUGCAGCAAAAAGUCCUGCGACGGUUUCGAAGGGAGGUUUAUUUGGAGCAGAAGGAUGGCUAUGCGUAGGAACAAACUUCUUUGUUCUUUCAAAAGAAGAUGCCAUAUGUAAUGACUCUUCUUCGCUAAGAUGCUUUUCCAAAAAGGGAAUAUCAUGUUGCUCCUCCUCGUCAAUAUGUUUCUGAAGAGAUUCCAUUAGCUCAUCCAAAGCGGGAAUAAAAUUACUCUGGUUAGCCUUCAUUGAUUGAAAUUUAUAUAGCAUUUCCUUAACUAAUUGGUGUUCGUGUCUGUCUUUCUCCGCCAUUUCUUUCCCUUCCUCGCCAAGGUACUUUUCGAACUUGGGAUAAACAACAAUUUCCUCUCCGACCGAAUGUCUUGCAAGUUCCCAAACAAAUUGGUUUUGCCAUCUAGUAGCAGUAUCAUAGUCGUUUGCCGACUUUAUAUUUUGGUAAUCGCUUUGCAAUUUCCUAUGAUCUUUAAAAAUAGCAUCUGAAAUUCUUGUCAUCUUGUAACUUAAUAGUCUUACAGGGAAAAAAUUGAGACUAACUUUUUUCUUGGAAUACUGAAGCAUUUGGAUUUUAUGUAGUGAAGGAUCUAUAUAUAUUCCAUUUUUGAAUAGCUGCACAAAACUAUUGCAAAUGUACGUAACCACUAAACUCUUAUUGCAAAUGUACGUAACCACUAAACUCUUAGCUCAACAUAUAUUUUUGCAGACACUUUAUAUUAAUCGCCUCUUUGCCUUCAUUACUUUGUACAUGCUACGUCGUGCUGUUGCUAAAGUCUUCUUUUAUUGUCAUGAAUUAAUGCUUGUUCAUCGACACCAAUUGAAAACAUAUUUACUGAAGUGCUUCUCUGUGAUAAUGCUGAAGCGUCGGCAUUUCAUCGUGAUAAUAAAGGCCAUU
rnacentral:lncRNA from 1 species